UACGGAGGGUGCAAGCGUUGCUCGGAAUUAUUGGGCGUAAAGGGUAGGUAGGUGGUCUCAUUUGUCUGGGGUGAAAGCCUUGAGCUUAACUCAAGAAGUGCCCCAGAAACGGUGAGACUAGAGUCUUGGAGAGGGUCGUGGAAUUCCCGGUGUAGCGGUGAAAUGCGUAGAGAUCGGGAGGAACACCAGAGGCGAAGGCGGCGACCUGGACAAGUACUGACACUCAACUACGAAAGCAUGGGGAGCAAACAGG
rnacentral:rRNA from 1 species